GACGAACGCUGGCGGCGUGCUUAACACAUGCAAGUCGAACGAUGAAGCCCAGCUUGCUGGGUGGAUUAGUGGCGAACGGGUGAGUAACACGUGGGCAACCUGCCCCAAACUCUGGGAUAACUCCUCGAAAGAGGUGCUAAUACCGGAUACGAACUAGGUAGACAUCUGCACUAGUUGGAAAGUUUUUCGGUUUGGGAUGGGCCCGCGGCCUACCAGCUUGUUGGUGAGGUAACGGCUCACCAAGGCUACGACGGGUAACCGGCCUGAGAGGGGGACCGGUCACACUGGGACUGAGACACGGCCCAGACUCCUACGGGAGGCGGCAGUGGGGAAUAUUGCGCAAGGGGCGAAAGCCUGACGCAGCGACGCCGCGUGAGGGAUGAAGGUCUUCGGAUCGUAAACCUCUUUCAGUAGGGACGAAGCGAAAGUGACGGUACCUAAAGAAGAAGCACCGGCUAACUACGUGCCAGCCGCCGCCGUAA
rnacentral:rRNA from 1 species